ACGUCAGCGUUCUGACGUGGCCGGCCGCAUUUGUGUUCGUUUGCGCUCCGUUUGACAGCUACUGAAAAAAAAAACUCGCGCGUCUUCUGUCAAGCUUGAAACUUUUUGAGUGCGUUCGAAAUUUAAACUGUAUAAAAUAGUGUUGUUUGUUGGAUUAUUUGUUUGGAUAAACUGGAUAAGAUAAUUGCAGUGUAAUUGUAUCGGCUCGAACUGGCCGUUGAGACGCUAUAAAGUGAUGAAUCAGCGAGCGCCGGCUAAUUAACAACGUCACUGCUACGAAAACAAAUCUAAACCUCUAUCUGCUAUUCAGCUUCGGGGAUAUUUCUGGUGAGGGUCCGGCCCGCCGGCAAGCUGUUUUACCCCUAUCUGAAGACGUCCUCCCUCCACAGGGAUUUCCUGUUUGCGAGUGGAUCCGACGAGUCGGGAUGCGAGGCUGACAUGCUGGAGGGCGCGGAGGCGGGCCGGCACUCGCCGCCCCGGCCGCAGCGAG